UACGUAGGUGGCAAGCGUUGUCCGGAUUUACUGGGCGUAAAGAGCGCGCAGGCGGUCGAUUUAGUCGUGUGUGAAAGCCCCCGGCUCAACUGGGGAGGGUCACGCGAUACUGAUCGACUCGAAGGCAGGAGAGGGUAGUGGAAUUCCCGGUGUAGUGGUGAAAUGCGUAGAUAUCGGGAGGAACACCAGUGGCGAAGGCGACUACCUGGCCUGUUUCUUGACGCUGAGGCGCGAAAGCCAGGGGAGCAAACGGG
rnacentral:rRNA from 1 species